ensembl:lncRNA
GAAGAUUUACUGCUGAAAGAAGAGAGAAUGAAUGUUGGGGUGAAUGAUCAAGUACCUGGACGUUAAGAUAACCAAACCAAUUGCUUCAUAUUUUUGUGCCAAUUAUAUAAAUUAAGAAACAGUUCAAUUUGAGCUCACAGGCUCAAAUACUAGGACGACUUAGCAAUCACGUAGCUCCUGGUUAUUUAAAAUGUGCUUCCUGGACCAGCAACAAUAGCAUCACCAGUUUUAGAGUUGCAGCAUCUCAGACCCCCUGGCCCUGCUGAAUCGGAAUCUGCAGUUUAACAAGAUCUGCAGUAUAUACUGUAAUGUUGAAAAUGAAUAGUCCAAAUUUAACUCUCAGCUUACAGAUAUGGAACCUGGGAUGAGGCAGAUGAAGAUCCUUGCCCAAAGUCAUACAUCCAGUAUCAGCAAUACAAACAUGGAUAAAAAUGAGUGCCUGCCAUCAAGAAGACUACAUUCAAUCAGAGGAGGUAGAGUAGCAACAAACUAGGUUGUGACAAAUGCUAAACCAUUAGCACGCACAAAGUGCCACCAAACCACAGAGAAGAAGCAAUUAAUUUUGCCUAGCAAAGGAGAAGGCAAUGGCACCCCACUCCAGUAUUCUUCCCUGGAAAAUCCCAUGGACGGAGGAGCCUGGUAGGCUGCAGACCAUGGGGUCUCGAAGAGUCGGACACGACUGAGCGACUUCACUUUCACUUUUCACUUUCAUGUAUUGGAGAAGGAAAUGGCAACCCACUCCAGUGUUCUUGCCUGGAGAAUCCCAGGGACGGGGGAGCCUGGUGGGCCACCGUCUAUGGGGUCGCACAGAGUCGGACACGACUGAAGCGACUUAGCAGCAGCAGCAGCAGCAAAGGAGAAGAGGCUCCUCAGAAAAAAAUCAUAUAGCUUGCACCUGAAGGGGGCCUGAAAGUGCAUCAAGGUAUUCAAUUGCAGUGAGUUUUUGAGGAAUUAACACAUAUGUGGUGUUGAGGGUUGAGGGCAUUAAAAAAUUAAUAAGAUCCCCAACAGCAUCAUAAGAUCAUCAAGUGCAGAGCUAUAUGUGACUGCUGUUGGAGGCUGUGAGGCUCAGCCAAUUAUCUCCCCACACCCUUGCCAUUAUAUGGGGCCAUGAAAUUAGUUGUAACAAAGAAGGGGUAGACAUAAUGUGUAUCUGAUCCAGAGCAGAGCAUGGGAGAGAGGGCCCGAGAACACACAUUCCAUCUGGUGCAGUUACAAGAUGGUAGAGCUUUGUUCAUUGGAAGGACUGAUGCUGAAGCUGAAGCACCAAUACUUUGGCCACCUGUUGCUAAGAGCCAACUCACUGGAAAAGAAAACCCUGAUGCUGGAAAAGACUGAAGACAAAAGGAAAAGAAGGCAGCAGAGGAUGAGAUGGUUGGAUAGCAUCACUGACUCAACGGACUUGAGUUUGAGCAAACUCCGGGAGAUAGUGAAGGACAGGGAAGUCUGGCGUGCUGCAGUCCAUGGGGUCACAAAGAAUCGGACACGACUUAGUGACUGAACAACAACAAGAACUUUGUGAUGGCUUCACAAUAGAGUUUCCUGCUGCCCGAGUUAGUCAUGCUGUGUGGGCUAGAAAUACACUUUGGUGGAGUAAAUCGCUCUGACUUGGGGGUUGCUUAUUAUCAUAGCAUAACCCAGAACACCUGACUCAUGUGGGAUGAUAAUAUCCAUGAAGGUGACUCCAAGGAAACUAUGACUUCAGAAGGGGUAAAGGGAGGAAAUUGGCUUCAAAUCAAGUGUGUUUUGGGGGGUGAGAGGGGGGGCCAGAGGAAGUUUCUUACUAAACCUAUAAAAAUGUGUUACUAAGUAAUACCUGCUAAUCAUAUUUCCCUGCUCAAACAACAGUAUUUUUCAGAAUUUCAUCUUGAAAUCCUCCUCAGGAUGCACCCUCUCUCAUGACUAGUGAAACCACCAUACGUCACCGGGUCAUCGUGCAUGUCAGUGUUACAAAAACAGCUAUGAAUCGCUUUAAACAAAGCAAAUCCAUCUGUCCGUCUUUCCAUGCUACUUCAAAGCCGCCCGACCAUCUAGAGUCAAACUUCUCUGGAUUAAAUAGGCUACAAGGCUAAAGCCCAGCAAGUGUCUCUUUUAACCUCUAGCAGAUUUUCACAGCCCAGUGGCAAACUCCUCCCAAACAACAUUUCUAAUGGGAGGCUGACAGACUUCUAACUAAAGCAGUUCCAAUGUGCCACUAUAAUAACCUACUUCUUUUGAUUGCAUUUAUUUUUAAUGAUUAUUUUCCCUGCGUGCCAAUCCAACCUGUGCUUCCAGCCCAGAAAGAGGGGGGAGGGGAGGAAGCCAGGACCGAGAACGUUAUCUUGGGCUGCACUGUCACCUAGAGGUACUGCGGAAGAACUGCCGCAUUGCUCUUCUAAGAGCAGUGGCCGCUGUUGAAACAAAGCGGGACCUUCCU